rnacentral:tmRNA from 1 species
GGGGGCGAAACGGGUUCGACGGGGGUAAGGAAGCUUAAGCUGCAUACCGAGGUUCCACCUGGUCUCGUAAAAAAGGUGGGCUAAACACAAACGCAGACGAUUAUGCGUACGCCGUAGCCGCCUAAAGGCUACCGUCCUUUUCGAUCCACCCCUGCGGGAUUGAUCAGGACGCCGGAUAGCAGGGUAGCUGACCCGACGGACCUGAACGUCGGGGAAGCGAAACUUAACCAGGUUAGUCUCCUGGUCCCCUCGCCUGGCAGGAAACCAGGGGGCGAAUCCUUAAUCGCCGGGCUAUGUAUGUAGAUGCUUAAGUGGAUUACUUUCGGACGGGGGUUCGACUCCCCCCGCCUCCACCA